AGAGAGACAAGAAGAAACACAUCCAAGAAUGAUAGACCAGAGGUGGUGGGACUACUGUGACCUCCAGCAUAAGGAAUGUGAAAAAAGACAGAACGAUAUGCCGUCUGGUCCCAUUAAAUGUCCAAUUUGCAUGGACAUCUACUCGGAGAUUGUGCAAAAGGGGAAGCAGCUUAUUUCAACUAGAUGUGGCCAUCUGUUCUGUUGUUGCUGCCUGUUUACCACCCUUAUAGAUAGCACACGCUGCCCUGUCUGCAGGGAGGAAAUUAUUCGAGAAGAGUGUCAUCCUGUUUACUUAUGAGUUCUUCUGUUUUCUAAAAAAAUACUUAAUUGCAAUAGUUUUGUGUUCUGAUGGUUUAAUAGUUUAAUAUGUCAAAAUAAAUUUUGUUUUAUUUGAGAAUAUCUUGUAUGUCUAUAGACAGCUUUUUUACAGUCCAAGCUGCUUCUUGUUACGUCCCUGGUUCUCAUGUUAAAUUUAUAGCUGUCUCUAAACUAGACCAGCAGCCUGUAUUAGAAAGGAUGCGGCUACCCUUUUCCUACUGCUUUUUUAAGGCUUAAAUCAGAGGAGUCUGAAUAUUUGCACGUACAACUGAAUGGGUAUAUUCAUAGGGCUAUUAAGAACUGGGACACUGAAUCACUUUGGGGCCAAAUUUAAUGGGAAAUCCAUGACAAAUCUGAUGGAUUAAACUUGUGUUUAUGUCUGUAAAUAGUACAG